UACGGGGGGGGCAAGCGUUGUUCGGAAUUACUGGGCGUAAAGGGCUCGUAGGCGGCCAACUAAGUCAGACGUGAAAUCCCUCGGCUUAACCGGGGAACUGCGUCUGAUACUGGAUGGCUUGAAUCCGGGAGAGGGAUGCGGAAUUCCAGGUGUAGCGGUGAAAUGCGCAGAUAUCAGGAGGAACACCGGUGGCGAAGGCGGUUCUCUGGGCAUUACCUGACGCUGAGGAGCGAAAGUGUGGGGAGCGAACAGG
rnacentral:rRNA from 1 species